AACACUGUUAACCUGCGGUACCUGCGGAGGGAUCAUUACAGAGUUGCAAAACUCCCAAACCAUCGUGAACGCUACCUAUAUCGUUGCUUCGGCGGGCGGCGCGCCCGCGGGGAGAGGGGGAGCCGGAGACGGCCCCCGCCCCGCCCCGCGGACCGCCCUCGGCCCUACCCGGGCCCCCGCCGGAGGCCUACCAAACUCUUGAAUUUUCGUGGCCUCUCUGAGUCUCCUGUACUGAAUAAG
rnacentral:misc_RNA from 1 species